AAUGGGUCAGCGACUUAUAUUCUGUAGCAAGGUUAACCGAAUAGGGGAGCCGAAGGGAAACCGAGUCUUAACUGGGCGUUAAGUUGCAGGGUAUAGACCCGAAACCCGGUGAUCUAGCCAUGGGCAGGUUGAAGGUUGGGUAACACUAACUGGAGGACCGAACCGACUAAUGUUGAAAAAUUAGCGGAUGACUUGUGGCUGGGGGUGAAAGGCCAAUCAAACCGGGAGAUAGCUGGUUCUCCCCGAAAGCUAUUUAGGUAGCGCCUCGUGAAUUCAUCUCCGGGGGUAG
rnacentral:rRNA from 1 species